UCCAUUCGCGGAGAUGGCGUUCUCCCCUAACCGCCAGCCAAGGCUGAUGACGCCUGCUUUCAU
rnacentral:ncRNA from 2 species